rnacentral:lncRNA from 1 species
UACGCCUGGUUGACCGAGAUUCCCCGUGAGCCAUUAUCUGUUAUUACAGCCAUCGGGGUGGAACCGUAGAGCACAUCACAUGCCGAGUACGAAGAUUGGUUGCCUAGCCCUGCCUCCUUCCAAAUCAUUUCACACUAGUGAUUGCUUCCCACGGCUUCCAGGAAUUCUGAGCCCCAUCUUCCACCAGGUGACCCUAUGCUAUUUAUCUAGUCCAUCUAGGGGUG